UGNGAUUGAACCUGAGGCGGUGCUAAGC
rnacentral:piRNA from 1 species